AACGAACGCUGGCGGCAGGCCUAACACAUGCAAGUCGAGCGAGGUAGCAAUACCUAGCGGCGGACGGGUGAGUAACGCGUGGGAACGUGCCCUUUGCUUCGGAAUAGCCCCGGGAAACUGGGAGUAAUACCGAAUGUGCCCUUCGGGGGAAAGGUUUAUCGGCAAAGGAUCGGCCCGCGUUGGAUUAGGUAGUUGGUGGGGUAAUGGCCUGCCAAGCCGACGAUCCAUAGCUGGUUUGAGAGGAUGAUCAGCCACACUGGGACUGAGACACGGCCCAGACUCCUACGGGAGGCAGCAGUGGGGAAUCUUAGACAAUGGGCGCAAGCCUGAUCUAGCCAUGCCGCGUGAUCGAUGAAGGCCUUAGGGUUGUAAAGAUCUUUCAGGUGGGAAGAUAAUGACUGUACCACCAGAAGAAGCCCCGGCUAACUCCGUGCCAGCCGCCGCGGUAA
rnacentral:rRNA from 1 species